rnacentral:lncRNA from 1 species
GCAGGAUAAACUGUUACGAUAGAUAAACGCACAAGCGAAAAUAAAAAUAACGAACACAAAAUAGAUAAAUCAUAAGCAGAAAUAAAAAAAUAACAUAUAGAUUUACGUAAAAAAAUUUUUACAGAAAAAAAUUACGGGCGAAAGAGAAGAGAACUUCACUAUCGAAAAGAGAAUGCAAUGUUUAAAAUACAACCAACCACGAUCUGUUGCCGCUACCGCAAAAAUUUUAAAAAAAAACUCCUAACGGAUUUCGGAUCCGAUCCGAUAUACGAGCUCGGGCCUAUCGGCCCCAACCCUUCACUACCCACCACAAACAUGUAUUUUUUCUCCGCAAACUUAUUUUCAAAUUGUCACACCGCGAAACUGUCGAUGAGUCGAAAGUUCCAAACUGAAGUCGAAUUUUAUUAAAGAUUCAGUGAAUGAUUUUCAAUACUAAAAUUUGGAAAAAAAUAAUAAUUUUUAAAGAGGAGGAUUAUAAUCUCUUCUCAACGAGGCUUCGUAUGGAGCUUCUCACCAAAGUAUUUUUCUAAGUGCACAAACUUACAAAACAUAGUCCCACAUUUAAUGGAAUCUUUAUCUAAAACUUUUGUCACCUGCAAAAGUUAUAUGUACGUGCAAUUGAGAAGCCCCACUUUGAGGCUUCCAUCUUAUCCUACAAAGUUUUUUUUUUCAUUUUUUUUAAAAAAAAAUGCUAGCCAAUUAUUUGUUAAAUUUAUUUAUUUUUAAACUCAGUUAAUUAAAAUGUGAAGCAACUGCACUUCUACCUUGAAAUCUCGAAUACUAAUCACUAAAUUUUUAGCUAACGACGCUAGAUGUGGUCAAUUAUCCAGUAAAAAAUUUUGAAGUUAUUCUCACUCUGAGAAUAAUGUUAUUCCAGCUCAGCAGAAACC